AACGCUAGCUACAGGCUUAACACAUGCAAGUCGAGGGGUAACAGGGGAGCUUGCUCCCGCUGACGACCGGCGAAUGGGUGAGUAACGCGUAUCCAACCUGGCUCCGGCCCGGGGAUAGCCCUUGGAAACGAGGAUUAAGACCCGAUGGGUGCGGGCAUCGCAUGAUGCCCUCAUGAAACAGGCAGGAGAUGGGGAUGCGUAUGAUUAGCUAGUUGGCGGGGUAACGGCCCACCAAGGCAACGAUCAUUAGGGGUUCUGAGAGGAAGGUCCCCCACACUGGUACUGAGACACGGACCAGACUCCUACGGGAGGCAGCAGUGAGGAAUAUUGGUCAAUGGGCGAGAGCCUGAACCAGCCAAGUAGCGUGAGGGAAGACGGCCCUACGGGUUGUAAACCUCUUUUGCGCGGGAAUAAAAAAUGCCACGCGUGGCAUCUUGCAUGUACCGCAGCGAAUAAGGACCGGCUAAUUCCGUGCCAGCAGCCGCGGUAAUACGGAAGGUCCGAGCGUUAUCCGGAUUUAUUGGGUUUAAAGGGAGCGCAGGCGGAGUGAUAAGCCAGCCGUAAAAUAGUCGGGCUCAACCCGAUCCCGCGGUUGGAACUGUCGCCCUUGAGUGCGGGAGAGGAAGGCGGAACUCGUGGUGUAGCGGUGAAAUGCAUAGAUAUCACGAAGAACUCCGAUUG
rnacentral:rRNA from 1 species